UCACCCUAAAAAUAUAAAAAGUUUUAAAAUGCAUGAUGAAUUAAUGUAUUUUUAUAAUUCAAUUUAAUUUAAAUUUAAAAAUUGAUUCCACCACCUUCUCGUCCCCAAGGGCAGAAUCAAAACCAGCAGAAAUGAUUACGAGAUCGGGGUAAAACUAAAUAAAAAAAAAAAAUUAUAUUAAUUAAUAUAUUUGAAAUUUAUUUACCUCUGGACAACCGAGUGCUGCGUCGUAACCUGCAGAGAUUACUACGAGAUCCGUACCUCGUAAGCCAUAGGGAGAAGUACUUGUUGGAAAAUUGCCAAAUAAUCUCCAUUCAUCAUACCAGGUUUAUUUAACGGAACAUUGAAAUUAUAUCCGGCGCCUGCACCUUCACCUACAUAAUGAUAAUCAGAUUCACGAAGAUUUGGCCAAAAUUCUCCUUGCUCGUAACGGUGGAUUGAAAAAUAGACAACUCUUGGAUCAUCAUAGAACAUUUGUUGUGUAGCUUGUCCAUGAUGAACAUCCCAAUCAACAAUUAAUAUUUUAUUGGCUAAACCAUCUCUGAGCAUUUUUUCCGCAGCUAUUGCGACAUUGUUGAAAAAACAGUAGCCACAAAACUCAGUUUUCAUUGCAUGGUGGCCUGGUGGUCUGAAUCGCAUUAAAAAUUGAAAAAAUUAUAAGUACUCAUUACAUAAAAUACUUUUAUCUUUUUAAUAAACAAAUAAGUAGUAAAUAAAAAAAACAUUUGCUUAAAUUAUAUGACAGAUUUUCUAUUUAAAUUAGAUGUGACGGAUUGAUUAGCAUGAAGUUGAAAAAACUUCAUCGAUUAUUCUAGAUCAGAUUAGUCAUUAUUAAUAAACCCUAAAUUGUUAUACCUAAUUAUCGCCAUUCCAUUUUGAACUUGUUUCUUACAAAUUGCUUCCAAAAGGUCGAUAGUUGAUCCUACAGCUUUUUUUGAUAAUUCGUACGUUGACUAAAAAUGAUGGCAAUUAUUUAAGUUAUCGUUUAAAUAAAAAAUAUAAUAAUAAUUGUAAAUAAUCAACUCACUGGAUGAAUAUAAAUUGCAUCAUAUUUAGAUGAUAAAUGUUCCAACUUCUCUUCAUCUGUACAUCCAGAAGUCGCUUUAAGAAUAUCGAUAUGUUUUUGUGAAUGCUUGAGUAAAAUUUCAUCAUGAGUAGCAAA